UACGGGGGGAGCAAGCGUUGUUCGGAUUUACUGGGCGUAAAGGGCGCGUAGGCGGCCACCGCAAGUCGACUGUGAAAUCUCCGGGCUUAACCCGGAAAGGUCAGCCGAUACUGCGGGGCUAGAGUGCAGAAGGGGCAACUGGAAUUCUCGGUGUAGCGGUGAAAUGCGUAGAUAUCGAGAGGAACACCUGCGGCGAAGGCGGGUUGCUGGGCUGACACUGACGCUGAAGCGCGAAAGCAAGGGGAGCGAACGGG
rnacentral:rRNA from 1 species